rnacentral:rRNA from 1 species
ACUACGGGCGGCAGCAGUGAGGAAUAUUGGUCAAUGGGCGAGAGCCUGAACCAGCCAAGUAGCGUGAAGGAUGACUGUCCUACGGGUUGUAAACUUCUUUUAUAUGGGAGUAAACUGAGGCACGUGUGCGCUUUUGUAUGUACCCUAUGAAUAAGGAUCGGCUAACUCCGUGCCAGCAGCCGCGGUAAUACGGAGGGUCCGAGCGUUAUCCGGAUUUCAUUGGUUUAAAGGGAGCGUAGGUGGGUUGGUAAGUCAGUUGUGAAAGUUCCGGGCUCAACCGUAAAAUUGCAGUUGAUACUGGCAGUCUUGAGUACAGUUGAGGUAGGCGGAAUUCGUGGUGUAGCGGUGAAAUGCUUAGAUAUCACGAAGAACUCCGAUUGCGAAGGCAGCUCACUGGACUGCAACUGACGCUGAGGCUCGAAAGUGUGGGUAUCAAACAGGAUUAGAUACCCGUGUAGUC